UACGGAGGGGGCUAGCGUUGUUCGGAAUUACUGGGCGUAAAGGGCGCGUAGGCGGUAUGUCAAGUCAGAGGUGAAAGGCCUGGGCUCAACCCAGGAAUUGCCUUUGAAACUGGCAAACUAGAGUCCGAAAGAGGAUGGCGGAAUUCCCAGUGUAGAGGUGAAAUUCGUAGAUAUUGGGAAGAACACCGGUGGCGAAGGCGGCCAUCUGGAUCGGCACUGACGCUGAGGCGCGAAAGCGUGGGGAGCAAACAGG
rnacentral:rRNA from 1 species